rnacentral:rRNA from 1 species
UGGUUGAUCCUGCCAGUAGUCAUAUGCUUGUCUCAAAGACUAAGCCAUGCACGUCUAAGUACAAACUAAAUGAUGGUGAAACUGCAAAUGGCUCAUUACAACGGUUAUGAUGUACCCGGGAGUUCCGAUGGAUAUUUCCAGUAACACUAGAACUAAUACAUGUCCCUGCGUUUAUUAGUUUCGCACAGUCCGUCGCUGAGUCAUGGUAAACAGUUGAUCGACUCGACGUCCCGGAACAGUUUCCGCCCCAUCAGCUUCGAUGGUUGGGUAUUGGCCUACCAUUGCAACAACGGGUAACGAGGAAUUAGGGUUUGAUUUCGGAGAGGGAGCCUGAGAAACGGCUACCAUAUCUACGGAUGGCAGCAGGCGCGCAAAUUACCCAAUGCAGACACUGUGAGGUAGUGACGAGAAAUAAUAAAGCGGGACUUUUGUUUCGCUAUUAUAAUGAGGAAUAACCAAAGGUCAUUCCGAUUAGCAACUGAUGGGAAAGUCUGGUGCCAGCAGCCGCGGUAAUACCAGCGUCAGUAGCAUAUAUUAAAAUUGUUGCAGUUAAAACGUCCGUAGUCUGUACGUCGUCCCAAACUCACUGCAGUCUUCCGUUUUCUUAAUUGAAUGCGGUAGUUUCUGCAGUCACUCCCUUGAUCAAAUUAGGUUGUUCAAGGUAGACCAAGUCUUCAUAUUUUCACAUGGAAUUGGGUGAGGGAACUUAAGAGUUUAAGUUUCUCGUCUUAGGAUCAUCCGGGGUCAUUCGUACUCGUCCGCGAGAGGUGAAAUUCUUGGACCGGACGAAGACGACCAGCAGCGAAAGCAUCUGUCAGGGAUGUUUUCUGCGACAAAGGACGAAGGUCAGGGUAUCGAAGACGAUUAGAUACCGUCGUAGUCCUGACUGUAAACUAUGCCCACUUGGGUCUUGCUGGGCGAUGCUUUGUGAGACCCACACAGAAAUGAAAGUGUAUGGGUUCUGGGGGUAGUAUGGACACAAGUCUGAAACUUGAAGGAAUUGACGGAAGAGCACCAUAAGACGUGGAGCUUGCGGCUUAAUUUGACUCAACGCGGGAAAACUUACCAGGUCAAGACAUGGGCGUGAUUGACAGGCUAAUGACUUUUCUCGAUUCCAUGGAUGGUGGUGCAUGGUCGCACUUAGUUGGUGCAGUGAUUGUCAGGUUAUUCCGGUAACGAACGAGACCUUAACCUA